rnacentral:lncRNA from 1 species
GCAUGCGCAACGUGUGGCAAAAGUCUAAAUCAGACUUGGAGGCGAGAAUUGGGGAAAAGAUUUUGCAUUAUUCGUUUUACGAUUUGGUUCCUGUCCGUGUCGCUGUUGACGGCUUGCUCAAACGUUUAAGAACCAGUUAAGAUGACAUCUUAAGCCAUGCAGUCAUUUCUCCAGGAGAUGGUGAUAAAGAGACAGAUGUUAAUGGUAAUCUUGGCAACCUUUUAUCAUUGAAGGGAUGAAGAAGAACCUUUUUGCUUUCAGACGUUCCGACAAAUCCAUUUGGUAAGAAACACAAUAAACAGUUCAAAAUAAAGGAGUUUGGGC